AGGAAAAACAACCCCCUCAUCUUCAUUAUUUUAUAGCAGAGGGAAGAGAGAUGACUUGACUACCUCUAACAUGACGACAGAAGAAAGCAUCUGAUGCCCUGGAGAAGGAGCUAGAGAUGACUGUAGGCUCCACACCAGUGCCAGGACACAUGCUGCCUGUGUGAACUGGGAGACCAACCAGCUGAAAUGGCUCACUCUGGCAGAAUUCAGCAGACACCUUUGCCUGGAACGUUGGCUGCUGUCGAAAACCUGCUUGGCCUCAUUCUGCAGAUUGCUGGGAAGCGGGGCUAUGGUCCUCUCAGACGGUAACUAAAGGCCUGGUGUUCCAGGGGGUUUCCUGUCAGCAAUGCCUGCUCUGGACUGCAAUUCUAGUUGGCUGUUUUCUUGUUUGGUCAAAUAGGAACUCUGUUUUGCUGAGUCGGCAGUCCCUGGCAGUCUAGUCCUUUUACCUUCAUGUGACAUUGUACCAGUGAAGGGCCUUCCCUUCUGCUCAGGGAACCAGUCCUUCUUUCCUCUACUGAACUCCUCCACCGGCGAGCACUGGGGGCUAGAGAGCUUUAACAAGGCAAUCAGCAUAAUGUACGGAAGGCUGGUGGCCUCAAAACCUGAAGGGGCUGUAACUUAAACUUCACUCCAAACGACUUCGAUCGGAAAAGACGAAAAGGAACCAAUUCUUGGUGGGCAUUUGAAAGGUGUUUUCUAAAGCGGCAGGCACGGCACGGGCGGUUCUUUUUCAACCUGGGGUGAGGGGCAUGGAAGAGGCUCUCCUAGAAAACAGGUGCAGAGGAGAAGUCUUUACUGGAAGCACAAAGAGCAGCUUAAUGUUGCAAGGGAGACUGGAUGGAUGCCAGGAGACAUCCCAGGGGAGGGUGCUGCCAAGCAACGGACAGGCAGAGAGCUGACCGAGCUCUUUUCUUAGUGCUGUCUGCUGGCUCCGAAGUUCUACCAGAGCAGAGAACUGCUUCGAAAGGCUCAGUAAGCUUUGAAACAAUCAUGGCGACUCUUGAGCAAUGUGAAGUCUGAGAAGCUAAGAAGCAAACUAGAGAGAUGACGAAUCCAUCAGCUCUCCGCGCAGUGGCUCUCUUCGGCUCUGGUGGGACACUCCUUGAGACAGCUCCACAGGGCCAGACAUUCAGUGUCACAGCCCUGUCUGUGCCUUUGAUGUGGGCAGUUUGAAUCUAAGUGUCUCCUAAAUGCUUCCCAGACACUUCCUGGGGGAGGAGGGGAAGGUAUAAAGAGUGCACCAUUUCAGCUGGCAAAGGUAGGGUUAAUGAUGCUUUUGUACCUCAGAACUGAAAGUCACAGGCUAGGGUGGGUGGGCAGGGAAGAGGAUUGGAGAUGUUUCCUAAAUGUCUGCGGUCAACUUACUAAUGAGAAAUCUUAAACCAGAAAAGCAAAAUCCACAGAGGCAGAACCUGGUAUCGACAGAGCCGGGCCUGUUGGCUCCUCAGCUGGCAACGCACGCAGUACAGCGUUUUAAGAGGCUUGGGUGGGGCUGGAGAGAUGGCUCAGUAGUUAAGAGCGCUGACUGCUUUUUCCGGAGACCCAGAGUUCAAUUCCCAGCAACCACAGAACCGAUGUCUCCCCCACCCUAAACCACACAUCAAUUCUGUUUUCCAAUCACCUCUCUUAGUUUCUAAUCUUUCCUUCGCAAAUAUGGUAUUUUAGUGUAUUAGACAGUGGACAUGGGCAUGGUGGGGCGGUGUCUCGGGGGCAGGUAGCAUCUUACAGAUAUUCUUUAAACAAUUCACUUUCAGCAAUCUUUCACGACAGGCUGCGUUCUGCACAGGCUUGAUGGCCUUCUUGGUGGCGUCCACUGCCCCGUGAACCUGCUGCACAGCAGUAAUUUGUCUUCUCCAUAGCAACAGAGCCCCAAGGCUUUUUUACUAGGAUGCAACCCAGGGACCCCACGAGACACAAAGCGUCAGCUCUUCAAAGCAAGCCGGUUGAUGGCGUUUAAAGUAGUAAGGAGAGGGCUGUGGUAAUUGGUAUGAUAUAAAAUGUAAUAACAGGAUGUGUCUGGAGCUUGGCCUUGUGCCUUUAAUUACCUCCUCCUCACCUUUCUUACCUACCGUCUUCCACUCUCCUAGACACACUGUCCCCUCUGCCGCCAAGCAGUCGCCGCAGGAACGGGUUUGUUCUUUGAGAAUAUGCACUCAAAAGGAGAAAACCACGCAAAUGAGAACUUUUUAUUAAAAUGUUUAUUUGUGAGCUGGGAGGUGGUGGCGCACGCCUUUAAUCCCAGCACUUGGGAG